rnacentral:lncRNA from 1 species
UUCUAUUUUACCCCUUUUGGUUAGGGUAAAGAUUAUACAAAUCAAUUGCAUCUCUUCCCAGGCAAACUCAAAUUCCUCAGGCGUGCAUAUGUUAAGACCUUAUCAUGGCCAUUAUUCUAACUGGGAUGUGAUUAUUUUAAGGAGUAUAGAUGAUAGAAACAUUCCAGUCAAACAUCUAAUUGUUAUUAGGUUCAGUUCCAGAACUUGUUGAGCUCAAAAUUCCCAUGCCCAUGGGAACAGAGUUUGGGCUGUAACUUCAGUCCUCUAUUGUAAACAUUAAUUUCUACAAUGUGCAAUUCAGUGGAUCAUCCUAGAUAAUAUCUAUGUUUUUUGUUUUGAGUUAGAAUUUCUCUUGCUAAGAUUCUGAGGUCCAAAAUAUAUCUUCUUUUUUUCUGCUUUUAUACAUUAUUAUUCAGAUUUAUUGUCAUCAAUUUACUGUUGCCAGUUGACUAAUUAGUGAAGAAAUGUUGCCAGAUUUCUGCAUGCUCAUUUUAUGCGGACCCUUUGUGCCAAGGACAUUUCUGGUGUGAGUAUGUUUGCAAUGCUGAAAAUCAGGAGAGUGAGCAUGAUCAUUUUUAUGACUGUUGUUUAGAGAUUCCCUCAGUCGUGGAAGAAAGCACCGUGUGGAGAACAAGAGCUUGGUCUUUGUACCCAGGUUUCUCAGGAUAUCUAUGGCAAAUUGUGACAGAAUAUGAAUGAAUGAGAAGAGUAAUGAAUGUCAUUCAGCAAUGGGUGAAAUAUAACAGUUCUCUUAGGAACUCUUAUGUUACAGAGGAGCAGACUGCUACUUUAUAUAUUACUCACACACCUAUGAGGUACCCAUUCUUAUUAUCAUUUCAUAGAUAAAUGAACAGAAC